CACUCCUGCGGGAGGCAGCAGUGGGGAAUAUUGCACAAUGGGCGCAAGCCUGAUGCAGCGACGCCGCGUGGGGGAUGAAGGCCUUCGGGUUGUAAACUCCUUUCGCUAGGGACGAAGCUUUUUUGUGACGGUACCUAGAUAAGAAGCACCGGCUAACUACGUGCCAGCAGCCGCGGUAAUACGUAGGGUGCGAGCGUUGUCCGGAAUUACUGGGCGUAAAGGGCUCGUAGGUGGUUUGUCGCGUCGUCUGUGAAAUUCUGGGGCUUAACUCCGGGCGUGCAGGCGAUACGGGCAUAACUUGAGUGCUGUAGGGGUAACUGGAAUUCCUGGUGUAGCGGUGAAAUGCGCAGAUAUCAGGAGGAACACCGAUGGCGAAGGCAGGUUACUGGGCAGUUACUGACGCUGAGGAGCGAAAGCAUGGGUAGCGAACAGGAUUAGAUACCCCAGUAGUCCCAUGA
rnacentral:rRNA from 1 species